UACGGGGGGGGCAAGCGUUGUUCGGAAUUACUGGGCGUAAAGCGCAUGUAGGCGGCCUAGCAGGUCGGAUGUGAAAUCCCUCGGCUCAACCAAGGAAGUGCAUUCGAAACCGCAAGGCUGGAGUCCCGGAGAGGAUGGUGGAAUUCUCGGUGUAGAGGUGAAAUUCGUAGAUAUCGGGAGGAACACCAGUGGCGAAGGCGACUACCUGGCCUGUUCUUGACGCUGAGGCGCGAAAGCUAGGGGAGCAAACGGG
rnacentral:rRNA from 1 species